rnacentral:rRNA from 1 species
CCUACGGGAGGCAGCAGUAAGGAAUAUUGGUCAAUGGACGCAAGUCUGAACCAGCCAUGCCGCGUGCAGGAUGACGGCCCUCUGGGUUGUAAACUGCUUUUAUCUGGGACGAAAAACGGGCUUUCUAGCUCACUUGACGGUACCAGAGGAAUAAGCACCGGCUAACUCCGUGCCAGCAGCCGCGGUAAUACGGAGGGUGCAAGCGUUAUCCGGAUUUACUGGGUUUAAAGGGUGCGUAGGUGGGCAGGUAAGUCAGUGGUGAAAUCUUCAAGCUUAACUUGGAAACUGCCAUUGAUACUAUUUGUCUUGAAUAUCCCGGAGGUAAGCGGAAUAUGUCAUGUAGCGGUGAAAUGCUUAGAUAUGACAUAGAACACCCAUUGCGAAGGCAGCUUACUACAGGAUUAUUGACACUGAGGCACGAAAGCGUGGGGAUCAAACAGGAUUAGAUACCCUGGUAG